rnacentral:rRNA from 1 species
UACGUAGGGGGCAAGCGUUAUCCGGAUUUACUGGGUGUAAAGGGAGCGUAGGUGGCAUGGCAAGCCAGAAGUGAAAACCCGGGGCUUAACCCCGCGGAUUGCUUUUGAAACUGUCAGUCUUGAGUACCGGAGAGGUCAUCGGAAUUCCUUGUGUAGCGGUGAAAUGCGUAGAUAUAAGGAAGAACACCAGUGGCGAAGGCGGAUGACUGGACGGCAACUGACGGUGAGGCGCGAAAGCGUGGGGAGCAAACAGG